AUGGAGAUGGAGGCGCGCGGCGACCUGCGAUCGAUCCUGCCGCAGCUGCCGGUGGUGCUGCGCGGCGGGGCGCUGUUCUGGCCGGCGGCGGCGCAGGAGCAGCUGAGGGCGCUGUCCCUCGGCCCCGACGUGAGCCGGGUCACAUCCGGCGACGUGCUCGCCGACGCGCUCAGCGACCUCCGCCAGGCCCUCGCCCUCCGGGCGCUCCCCGCGCGCGCCGCCGAGGGCUACGCGCUCUUCUUCGACGACCUCCUCUCGCGGGCGCACGCGCGGGACUGGUUCUCCGACGUGCUCCCCCGCCUCGCGCGCCUCCUCCUCCGCCUCCCCGCGCUGCUCGAGGCCCACUACGCCGGCGCCCGGGCCGCGACCGGGCUCCGCCUCCUGGGGCCCCAGGACGCGGGCUUCGUGCUCCUCGGCCAGGAGCUCGCCGCCGCGCUGCUCGCCUGCGCGCUCUUCUGCCUGUUCCCCACCGCCGGCCGCGGCGAGGCCCGCCUCCCGGCCAUCAAUUUCGACGCCUUGUUCUCGGCACUGACUAACAAUGCGAGGCAAAGCCAGGAGCACAAAGUGAGGUGCAUUGCUCACUAUUUCGAGAGGGUGACCGCGUCGAUGCCUGCCGGUUUUGUGUCGUUUGAGCGCAAGGUUCUUCCGCGCGGCUCCCUCUCCGGUGGUGUUACCUACCCUGACAACGAUGCCUGGAUGAAAUCUAGCGUGCCCCUCUGUCCAUUCCGGGUAAUUUCCUCGGGUUUGAUCGAAGAUGAGGAAGAAGAAGCCCUCGAGGUUGACUUUGCUAAUAAAUAUCUGGGAGGAGGUGCACUUUCCAGGGGCUGUGUGCAGGAAGAGAUCCGUUUCAUGAUAAACCCAGAACUGAUUGUAGGCAUGCUCUUCAUGGCCUCAAUGGAAGAUAAUGAGGCUAUAGAAAUUGUCGGUGCGGAAAGGUUCUCACAGUAUAUGGGGUAUGGCUCCUCAUUCCGCUUUGUCGGUGAUUAUUUAGAUACGAAGCCCCUUGAUGCAAUGGGUCGACGAAAAACUAGGAUUGUAGCAAUUGAUGCCUUGGACUGUCCAACUAAGUUACAGUAUGAAACUAGUGGUCUUUUAAGGGAAGUGAACAAAGCAUUUGUUGGUUUUUUGGAUCAAUCAAAGCAUCAGUUCGAUGUGAAGCCUUUGCAGGAUUCUAAUUCCAAGGAUAAUCAUCCAAGUGUCAACUCAGUUGACUGUAUAGGAGUUUCAACCGGAAACUGGGGUUGUGGGGCUUUUGGUGGAAACCCUGAAAUUAAGAGCAUGAUUCAGUGGCUUGCUGCAUCACAGGCGCACCGACUUUUUGUUAAUUACUAUACUUUUGAGGAUGCGUCACUUAGAAGACUAGAAGAGGUGAUGCAGUGGGUAUUACGCCACGGAUGGACUGUCGGCGAGUUGUGGCACAUGAUUGUUGAGUAUUCAUCCCAGAGGCUCAAGAGAGAAACUUUUGACGGCCUUUUGACUUGGUUACUUCCAGAAGACAACGUCAAUAAUGAUGCGGAUUACAUGUGCGAGUAG
rnacentral:rRNA from 1 species